AGGAUAAACGCUGGCGGCGUGCUUCAGGCAUGCAAGUCGAACGGGUGUCUACCUUCGGGUAGCCACUAGUGGCGGACGGGUGAGUAACGCGUUAGCAACCUGCCCAAAGGUGGGGAAUAACUAACCGAAAGGUUAGCUAAAUACCGCAUGUGAUAGCUGGUUCUUGGACUGGUUAUGAAAGGCUUCGGUCGCCUUUGGAGGGGCUUGCGUCAGAUUAGCUAGUUGGUGGGGUAAUGGCCUACCAAGGCGACGAUCUGUAGCUGGUCUGAGAGGAUGGUCAGCCACACGGGGACUGAGAUACGGCCCCGACUCCUACGGGAGGCAGCAGCUAGGAAUCUUGGGAAUGGGCGAAAGCCUGACCCAGCAACGCCGCGUGGGCGAUGAAGGCCUGGGUCGUAAAGCCCUUUGCAGGGACGAUGAUGACGGUACCUUGCGAAUAAGCCACGGCUAACUACGUGCAGCAGCCGC
rnacentral:rRNA from 1 species